rnacentral:ribozyme from 13 species
AAACAAGAACAGGAAAAGAACAAAAAAGAAAAAAGAAAGAAAAAGCACUCCAAUGGUAAAACAAGGAAAGAAAGAGAACUCUCUCUCUUUCUUGCUCUCUCUCUAUCCACAAGUGAUAAUCCUCUUUCCUUUUCCUGCUUCCAAAA